UACGUAGGGAGCAAGCGUUGUUCGGAUUUACUGGGCGUAAAGCGUGCGUAGACGGCUAUCUAAGUCGGGUGUGAAAGCCCCGGGCUCAACCUGGGAAUUGCAUUCGAGACUGAAUAGCUAGGGUACGGUAGAGGGAAGCGGAAUUUCCGGUGUAGCGGUGAAAUGCGUAGAUAUCGGAAGGAACAUCAGUGGCGAAAGCGGCUUCCUGGACCAGUACCGACGUUCAGGCACGAAAGCGUGGGGAGCAAACAGG
rnacentral:rRNA from 1 species